rnacentral:rRNA from 1 species
CGUUAGCGGCGGAUGGGUGAGUAACACGUGGGUAACCUACCUAUAAGACUGGGAUAACUUCGGGAAACCGGAGCUAAUACCGGAUAAUAUUUCGAACCGCAUGGUUCGAUAGUGAAAGGUGGUUUUGCUAUCACUUAUAGAUGGACCCGCGCCGUAUUAGCUAGUUGGUAAGGUAACGGCUUACCAAGGCGACGAUACGUAGCCGACCUGAGAGGGUGAUCGGCCACACUGGAACUGAGACACGGUCCAGACUCCUACGGGAGGCAGCAGCG